AUUCCUAAUAAGUUUCAGUUUCUCUCUUCUUUAACUCUCAUAUCAUCGCUUCCUUCCCUCUCUUACCUUCUCCUUCAGUUUCAAAAAAAAAACCUUCAGCCAUCGCGUCGCCAUGCCUCCGACGGCAGUCGCUGCGGCUAUAAACACAAAAACCAACGCAGAGAUGAUGAAUCUCCACAGCGGCGAUGAAGAAGACGACGGCGGCGCCGCCGCACCUAGGAAAUGGCUGGAAGGAGGCGAAUCUGAAAGGGGUCGAGUGGAAAUCAUAACGGAGAAUCUCCAAAAAAUCAAGGAUUUCGCGAUGUGAAGAGCGAAUCGAGCAACAACAACCUUCAAUCGGCUGAAGUGACGGUGAUGAGCGGCGGUGGAAAGCUUUUCAGGCGAGCUCUUCUUCUUUCUUUUCGUUUUAGGGUUUAUUCUCUGGCUCUGCAAAGACUAUGAAUGAACAUGGAUAGAUUUUAGGGUUUUCUAGAAAUUUUUGUCAAAAAGCUGCGCUGGAAUGUUUGUGAAUAGCUAUAGGUUCUAAAUUUAGGGUUUUUCUUCUAUUCUUGUGUAAAAGCUACGCUCUGAGUUUUUGUUCUGUGUAAAAGCAUCGAAGAAUUUGCAGAAAAUAGAGAGUGAUGAAGUUUCUGCGGUUUAAAGAUUCAGAGAAUGGUGAUGAAGAUCUGUUAUGUUGUGGCCAAGAUUGAAUACCUUUAUCUAGAAUCCAAGAUUUGACAAGAUCAUCAACAAAGAGAUUCCUUCUACUGUUGUUUAUGAGGAUGAUAAGGUACUGCAUGAUGUGUGAUUACAAAUAGUGGAUGCCAUGUUUGGUGUUUUCUUGAAGAACUUCAUUUAACUAUCCAUUGUCAAAACAUUACAAAUAUAUAUCUCUAUAGCACCGACGCCUUUGAAAAAAGGUUGUGUAUAUACAGACGAUAUUCAUGUCCAACCAUGUCAAAAAUAGUCAUGUGCUUUUACAGGAAAUUGUUGUUUUCUUGCAAAGAACAAAUGUGAGUUCAUAUAUCUCGUAUCGUUAUUCUUAUAUACAGAUAGCUCUAUAAUUCUCAUUUACUUUAGAGGCCCAGCCGAAGCUUCAGUUGAUGCAGUAAGUAAGUCUUGAUGUGAUAUUUUAUGUUUGGCAGUCUAUGUUGGCAUUGAAUCCAGAUGGCCUGUUUUUAGCGGCUAUCCUCGGAGGAGAAACAUUAAGGGAACUCAGAAUAGCUUGUACUGUAGUACAAAUUGAACGCGAAGGCGGGAUCAGUCCCCGAGUUUCACCUUUAGCACAGAUCCUUGAUCCAGAAUACUAAGCCUCAUACACGGAGAGUGUAGAUGAGGAAAUCUAGGUGUUAGCAGAAGAAUGAACUGGCUAAGGAUGCAUGGACAUUUUGUUUGUCAUGUCAUAGGCUGUGAUUAUGUUCUAUCUCUGUUACCCUUGAUAAGACAAAGAAUCCAACCCUUCCACCCUUCUCACAGUCACAAACUCAACAGGAUGAUGGUAAGUCAGCCCAAUUAUGUUAGUAAGUUGAUGAGUUUGUUACUAGAUGUUAGUAAGUUGAUGAGUUUGUUAGUAGAUGUUAGUAAGUUGAUGAGUUCUUUCUUGCUCUGUUAACUGUUUUCAAUCUAACAAAUAUCUGCUAACACUUGUGAUUUAUAGUUUUCUUAAACACCAGUUAGUGAUCUCACCGGUUAUGAUGGAUGUAGCAGCUGGGAUUCUUGGCUUCGAAGCUGAAACAGCACAAAACAAGGUGGCUGUAGUUGUGUUUGUUCUCAACAACAAUUUGAGAAAGCUUCCUCAAACAAGCAACUAUCUGUGCUUUGCCUUAUUUUAACCUGGAUUCAUUGAUGUUCUAUUAAAGGACACAACUAAAUUUAAUGAGAUGGGAUACUGAGAGGUAUUUAUUAGUAGAACAGCUUUUUGAUGUGAUUUAUAAGCAUCUUGAUCAGGGUAGCAUGUCUAGUAUUUCAAUGCCAAGGUGAGUGUUUCUGUUUUUAUCCAUUUUAUAAUUUUAAUGAAGAAUCUUUUGGUAGUUUAAGAUGAUCCUAAUGAACAUUUUAUAAUUUUAUAAUUUUAAUGAAGAAUCCAAGGUUUUACCUCAUUGUACUCCUUCAACUAAUGAGAAAAUAUUGUUAUCUUGGCUGGAUUUUAAUGUGUCGUAGAGAUGCUAUAAGAAGACCCUUGGAACAGAGAAAGAGAAUUCUUAAGGAAUCUCUAUAUUCAAAAAGUCCAGAUACACAGGACAAACCAACAUUAUUUAGAUCAUUUUACAAGUGGUUGAAACCUGGAGGUCAACUUCUAAUUACUGAUUACAACAAGGAGAUAAUCAAGAAGAAUAUUAAGAAGUUGUGUUUUAUAUUAUCUAGCUAGCUAGUUCUUAGAACUUUUGUUGUUAUUUUGGGAUGACUCUUUGAGAGAAACUUGUGUUUAAUUUAGCUCUUGUUUUGAAUCCCAUGGUUGUUUUGAAUUUGGGAUGACAUCAAAA